GCUACUACCGAUUGAAUGGUUUAGUGAGGACUCCUGAUUGGCGCCGCCGCCCCGGCAACGGCGCAGCGGACUGCCGAAAAGUUGUUCAAACUUGAUCAUUUAGAGGAAGUAAAAGUCGUAACAAGGUUUCCGUAGGUGAACCUGCAGAAGGAUCAAGCGCGGAAGAGCGGCGUGUAGAGAAAGAGUGUAGAUCGGGGUGCGCGGCGUCUCAUUAAAAAAAAACAAUAGAUCACUAGUACACAGACAGCAAUAUACCUCAGAACACACCAUACUAAGC
rnacentral:misc_RNA from 1 species